CGAGCGGUAGAGAGAAGCUUGCUUCUCUUGAGAGCGGCGGACGGGUGAGUAAUGCCUAGGAAUCUGCCUGGUAGUGGGGGAUAACGCUCGGAAACGGACGCUAAUACCGCAUACGUCCUACGGGAGAAAGCAGGGGACCUUCGGGCCUUGCGCUAUCAGAUGAGCCUAGGUCGGAUUAGCUAGUUGGUGAGGUAAUGGCUCACCAAGGCGACGAUCCGUAACUGGUCUGAGAGGAUGAUCAGUCACACUGGAACUGAGACACGGUCCAGACUCCUACGGGAGGCAGCAGUGGGGAAUAUUGGACAAUGGGCGAAAGCCUGAUCCAGCCAUGCCGCGUGUGUGAAGAAGGUCUUCGGAUUGUAAAGCACUUUAAUUUGGGAGGAAGGGCAUUUACCUAAUAC
rnacentral:rRNA from 1 species